CAUUCCAUACUUAAAGAUUGAAAUUAUUCCCUGUGUAUUCUCAGACCACAAUGCUUUGAAACUAGAACUCAACCACAAGAAAAAGUUUGGAAGGAAUUCA